rnacentral:rRNA from 1 species
CACCAGGCGCGAAAACUCUACAAUGCAGGCAACUGCGAUAGGGGAACAUCGAGUGAUCCUCAUAUUGGGGGUCUGUCCACCCGUCUAAAAAACGGGUGUUAGCAAGGGCCGGGCAAGACCGGUGCCAGCCGCCGCGGUAAUACCGGCGGCUCGAGUGGUGGCCGAUAUUAUUGAGUCUAAAGGGUCCGUAGCCGGCUUUGCAAGUCUCUCGGGAAAUCCAGCGGCUUAACCGUUGGUCGUCCGGGGGGUACUACAUUGCUUGGGACUGGGAGAGGUAGGAGGUACUCAGGGGGUAGGAGUGAAAUCCUGUAAUCCUUUGGGGACCACCGGUGGCGAAGGCGUCCUACCAGAACAGGUCCGACGGUGAGGGACGAAAGCUAGGGGCACGAACCGGAUUAGAUACCCGGGUAGUCCUAGCCGUAAACGAUGCUCGCUAGGUGUCACAACAGUCGUGAACUGUUGUGGUGCCGUAGGGAAGCCGUGAAGCGAGCCACUUGGGAAGUACGACCGCAAGGUUGAAACUUAAAGGAAUUGGCGGGGGAGCAC